UACCCCGAACGGAGACCCCGGCCCGGCCGUGCGGCCUACCCCGACCCCGACCCCGACCCGGUCCUGCGACCUACCUCGAACCGAGGGCCCGGCCCGGCCUGGCCGCCCCUCCUCCCCCGCCCCGGGCCCUCUCGCCCCUCCGUACCGGGGAAGGCCGCGGGGGGGCGGAGCGGGGCUGCAGGGAACGGCGGAAUCGAUCGCAGCGCCGGAACCGGGAGGCGGAGGCCGAGGGGCUGCGGGGCUGCACCGGGGCGAACCCCCUCCCAACCCCCCCCCCCUCCGCAUCCCACCCCGCUGGGGGUGUCGGGGCGCGGGGCUGCACCCCAUGGAGGGGAAGUUCCUCCAGCCGAAGAUGGGGGCGACUUCGGGUUCACUGUAGUGGAGCAUUUUCACUUCCGAGUCGCUCAGCCCAAAGUCCCACAUGUAGACGUCGGACAUCUCCCCCGUGAAGGACUGCAGAACGUCGAAGCCUCCCCCGUAGGCGUCCUGCUCCUGCCCCAGCACCACCACGGCCUCGUUGCCCACCACGUAGCCCUUCUGCAGCCCUUUGCGGGGCCACGGGCGCCCGUUGAGCCAGAAGCGCACGAUGCCGCUGGGUGACUCCCAGGUGACGCAGACGUGCUCUGGGUCCAUAUAGUUCUCGGGGAUGUGGAAGGCGACGUAUUUCCCCCCCACGUAGAAGUGGUACUCGGUGGGUUUGAAUUUGAGGAGGAGGAUCUCGUUGUCCUGCUCCUUGGUGGCGUAGGAGAAGAGGCUGUGGGGCCGGGUGAGGUCGGUGUAGGAGCGCAGGCACACGGUGAAGUUGAGCAGGGGGUGCUCUGGCCGUGCCUGCAGCAGCACGUAGGAAUCGUUGGACGCUUGGGGGAACACGAACACUCUGUACUUCAGGUCUGGGAGAGAGAGGCUGCAGAGCCCCACGAGGAAGGAGAGGAGGCAGAAGCGUGGCGUCCCCAUGACCCCACCUCAGUGACAAUGGCAGAGGCACCGCUCCAGGGGACUUCCCAGAAGGAAGGCACUCCCACCUGAUUUUCUCCCUGGACUGCGAGGGCACUGACCCACGUGUCGCUGUGUGGACAUUGGCCCCGCAUCCCACAGGUGGACGUCCGCCAUCUCCCCCGUGAACGAGUUGUAGACGUCGAAGCCUCCCCCGUAGGCGUCCUGCUCCUGCCCCAGCAUCACCACGGCCUCGUUGCCCACCUCGUAGCCCUUCUGCAGCCCUUUGCGGGGCCACGGGCGCCCGUUGAGCCAGAACUCGGCGAUGCCGCUGCCCGACUCCCAGCUGGCGCAGACGUGUUCCCAUUCCCCGCGGUUCUCGGGGACGCGGAAGAAGGCAGUGAGGAGCAGCACGAGGGGCGCGAGGCAGCAGUGCAGCCCCCCCAGCGCCGUGCUCAGCCCCAGCGCGAAAUCAAAGCUCUCAAAGGCACUGCAGCACCGCAGCCGUCAGCAGCGCUCCGGGCAGCAGCAGAAGGACGCAGCAACACACGCCCUCAUCGUAGAUGGAGUUGAAGAGGUCCACGAGGAACGAGGAGGUUCUGUUCACCACGAUUUCAGGGCUCUGUGAAGGACAGGAGGUGCCGUGUGCUGCGGGGUGACGCUGAGUUGGCCCCUCCGGUGGCCACGUGCCGCGCUUUAUCAGGGAGGGACAGUGUGGGGAGUGCUGAUAUCUCAGGGUGUGGUUUCAUCCCAAGCCAAGAAAACCCGUUUUCUUGCACUCAGUGGUGUUUUCCAGUUCCAGGACUCGUUGCUAUGCACCCCUCCCUGGGGGGGAGGUGGUGUUGGGUACCCUAUGGGGUCAGGGUUGGGUACCCAAUGGGAGUGGGGUUG
rnacentral:lncRNA from 1 species